GACUUGUCAUAUGAAACGAUAUGAGACACUGAAAAGUCACAACGGCCCACAACAGGAGACAACAAUUGUAGAAGUUUCUUUUAAAUUGUGAAUCCAUUUUCAUUUUGAAAGUGGCAAAGUGAAAUUACUUUUAAAAUGUCGGAAGAAGAAAAAUACAACGAUAAUGAGGAUACUGGUUCUCCGUCUCGACCCAAGAACUGCAAGUUGGAUUACCUGCAACGUAAAUCACGAAGUUCAAUUCCUCCAUUCACCUGGUAUCGCUAUCAAAAGAAGUAUAGGGAUCUACUAUUGAAUGUUAAUACGCAGGCUAGCGCGGAAUUAAUUCAUGACGUUCAUGAAUUCAUUAACGGAUUGGAGGAGGAUAUAGAUGAAGAAGAGCCUACAAAACAGUAUUAUGAGACUGAACACGAAGAGCAUAAUUACUUUGAAAAGCCAUGCAAAGAUGAUGACUUGCCUAUCAACAUUGAAGAGGAGAACACGGUCAAUAAGGAAUAUUUAUAAGAAGAGAAGAAAUCUUAUACUUCACUUGAAGAUAUGAUGUGUGUCCAUCAUGUGUCCAGUCAAUACAACGAUUGGUGAAAUAGUGGCGUGGUAGAUAGUAUGCAUCUUAUUAGCGGAAUAGCCAAACAAUUUGCUAAGAUGUGGUUUGGUAUCAAAGAAAAAGUGGCGUUACUUUCUCGUCGGACUAUACCUGAAAUAUAAAGUGUCCUCAUCAAAUAGGGCGACUAACUCGACCUUUAUCAGGCAGGGAAUUUUGGAAAGCUAGGGAAUGGGAAAACUGGGUUUUAUGUUACAGCAUUCCCAUACUUCUUCAUGUAUUACCACCAUCAUUUAUUCUGGGCUCUUCUUGCGGAAGCGUUUUAUAUUCUUUCACAAGAUGAUAUUUCGGUUUUCCAAAUUGACGUAGCCGAUCAGUUAUUAUAUAAAUUUGUAGCUGAAACUGAAAAACUAUAUGGAAAAGCAGCCAUAACGUUCAAUGUGCAUUUACUUUUACAACUGGCAAGAAGUGUGAAUCAUUGCUCUGGGUCGCUCUGGGUCCAUACAGCAUUUGCUUUUGAAUCAGCUAACGGAAAGGAUCUAAAGGAAUACUUGUUCUUCGAUGGUUCAAAAAACAUAUCAAUCUUGCGAAACGAGGUACUUUGGACCUACUUCUACUGUCCAUAGAUCAUGGGUAGAAAAUUCACAACUCUUGCUCGAAAGUUCGGUUUCAUAUAGGAAAAUGUUUAAAUACGCCUGUCUAUUUAUGUUCUCAACAAGAAGUAAUAAGCGUUCGGAUAAUACAUAUGCGAAAUUAAAUAAUAACUUUUACGUUAAAGUUCAUAAUUUUAUAGCUGAUAGAGGUACGAAAAAGGAAUUCACCAUUGUUCAAAAACUUGUUACGACAAAUUUUUUAGGAGAUGAAUGCAAAAUCUUGCAAAAAAUUAUUAGCGUAAAUGACGGCGAGUGUGCAGUUCUAACAGCCACAAUUGCGAAAGUGUCCGUUCACAGUGCAUUAAAUAAUGAAGAAUACAUAUGUGCUGUGCCAAAUUUGCAUUCCUAUUAAAAACAAAAGCAAAAGAGAAAAUCCUAGAGACAUUUUUUAUCUGAAGUUAGAUAACAACGUUGCAAACAAUUGAAAACUACAAUUGUCUGAUGUCAAAUAAUUUUCCUAACUUCAAAUAAAAAAUAUUCCUGGGAUUCACUGUGAAGAUAAGUAUUUAUUUAAGGCCGUUACUAUCACAAAAGAGCAAAACUUGUGAAAGGUUUCUGCGUUUACACUGUUUCUGUUUCCUGACCGAAAGCAUUUCCAAUCGGACAAGCACUCUAUGGUCAAUUUACAAAAUUAUAUUUCACUCAAAUAUGCCGACAUUUUUUUUUAUCAAGUUAUGAUUAUUUGAAUGUAAAGAAUGGAAAUUUUUCACUGUAAUGUACGUCCUUUUGUUAGUGAUUGUAAUGGAAUUUAUUCUUCUCUUUUGAAAUAGAUGAAAAUUUGUUUAAAAAGUUUAAAAUUGACAAAUUUGCGGUUUUUCUGUCAAUAUUUGAUGUCAAUUUACUUAAAAAAAAUUGUUUAUCAAGAAUUUUUUUGUCUGAAAACCGAAAAUUUACAUUUUUGGCAAAAACGACACAAAAUACGCGAAGAAUAAAAAAAAUGGUUUGUCUGAAAUAGUGUUAAAAAAUGUAUCUUGACACUUUCUUCUAUGUAGUGUUAUUUUCCAGACUUUAUGUACCUAUAUUCAUUAUUAUUUAUAUACGGUCAUCGAAAAACUUUAUAAUAAAUAACAUUGUUCAAUAUGUAAUUUAAUGUCCUAGAUAUAUCUGAGAACUGUGAGACUAGCUGUAAAAUAAACAAGUUGGGUUAAAAGACUAAGACUAUUUUUAAGACGUUAUUUUAUAAUGUUCGCCAAUCAUGCAACUAUAUUCCCGGCUGACCGUACACAUCGAUACUUCGUUUGUUUUAAUAUCUGCGUUGAUUUUCAAAGACAUUAGUAGAGAUUAGUAUAUUAGUACGUAUAUUAUGGUAUACUAGGGGUGUUAAAAAAAAACAGAAUCCCGAGUCUCAAAAUGCAUUUUCGAUUUUUUUGUUCCUAUUUGGUUAAAAUGAUCUAUGUAGAAGAAAAAAUAAGUCGGAUAAUAUGUCAAAGUUUUUCAUCGCGCAUUUGUCUAUUUUAAAAGAAAAUCCAUUUUUCUGUAAAACUGCUGACCAUAGUACAAAAUUAUAGAGAAUAUAAAAGAUGCGGCUCAUUAAAAUGAGUAUUUUCUGUACAUACUUUUUUAUUUUAAUAUGCAUAUUUAAGGACGUCUGUGAAGAAAAUGGUUAGAAAAGAAGCAUUUUUAAUCAUCUAUUCGACUAACUGAAAUAUCUUUCAUACACAUUUCAAUUAUUUUUUGGUUCUUAAAAAGAAAUUCGCAUAAACCAGUUUUUUAGAAAUAGUAAUUUUGCUUGUUUAUCUGAAUUGUUGUUUUGAGAACUUGAAGAAAUUUCAACUUACUUUAAUAAUAUUUCAGUAAGACGAAUAGAUCAUUAAUAUUGAUACUUUAUAACAAUAGUCUUCGCAUAUUUUCCUAAAUAUGCAUCACUAAAUGAAAACGUAUGGAAAAUUACUAAUUUAAAUGAUGAGCUACUUCUAAAUAUUAUCCGAAUUAGUUCUUCUUCCACGUGAUUAACUUUUAACCCACAACCUAGUGUGCAAAAAAGUGAAGGAUGUCCCAGAGACGUCUGCGGGACAUCUCUAAGACGUCUUAUGGAACAUGUAUUUUGAAAAUCCUAGGGAUGCUUUUAAGAUGUCUAAUGUCAGUACGAAAAAUGUCCCGAUAACGUUACAUAUCUUUAAGUCGUCUUAAGACAUCUGUAAUACAUUAGAUGUUUUAGAGACGUUGAUUUGACUGACAUUGGACGUCUUAGGGACGUCCCAAGGACAUUCUUCGUAUGUUCAUGGUUAUGCGCUCACUGGAAACAAACAAAAAAAUCUAAAAUGCAACGCGCAUUUCGGACUUCCUUUUUUUAACACCCCUGAUAUAUUUAUUUU